AGCUCCAAUAGCAUAUAUUAAAAUAGUUGCGGUUAAAACGCUCGUAGUUGGAUUUCUGUUAAGGACGAUCGGUCCGCCCUCUGGGUGAAUAUCUGGCUCGGCCUUUGCUUCUUCUCGCAGGGCGCAACUGCACUUGACUGUGUGGUGCGGCAUGCAAGGCUUUUACUUUGAGGAAAUAAGAAUGUUUGAAGCAGGCGCAUGCCUUGAAUACAUUAGCAUGGGAUAAUGAGAUAGGACGUUGGUUCUAUUUUGUUGGUUUCUAGGAUUGAGGUAAUGAAUAAUAGGGAUAGUUGGGGGGCAUUCGUACUUAAUUGUCAGAGGUGAAAUUCUUGGAUUUGUU
rnacentral:rRNA from 1 species